GAUGAACGCUGGCGGCGUGCUUAACACAUGCAGGUCGAACGAUGAAGCCCAGCUUGCUGGGUGGAUUAGUGGCGAACGGGUGAGUAACACGUGAGCAACCUGCCCCUGACUCUGGGAUAAGCGCUGGAAACGGCGUCUAAUACUGGAUAUGUCCCGUUACCGCAUGGUGUGCGGGUGGAAAGAUUUUUCGGUUGGGGAUGGGCUCGCGGCCUAUCAGCUUGUUGGUGAGGUAAUGGCUCACCAAGGCGUCGACGGGUAGCCGGCCUGAGAGGGUGACCGGCCACACUGGGACUGAGACACGGCCCAGACUCCUACGGGAGGCAGCAGUGGGGAAUAUUGCACAAUGGGCGGAAGCCUGAUGCAGCAACGCCGCGUGAGGGAUGACGGCCUUCGGGUUGUAAACCUCUUUUAGCAGGGAAGAAGCGAAAGUGACGGUACCUGCAGAAAAAGCACCGGCUAACUACGUG
rnacentral:rRNA from 1 species